rnacentral:rRNA from 1 species
UGCUAGAUGCUGACGAGUGGCGCACGGGUGCGUAACGCGUAUACAAUCUACCUUUAACUGAGGGAUAGCCCAGAGAAAUUUGGAUUAAUACCUCAUAGUAUUAUAAUUAGGCAUCUUUUUAUAAUUAAAACUUCGGUGGUUAAAGAUGAGUAUGCGUACUAUUAGCUAGUUGGUAAGGUAAAAGCUUACCAAGGCAACGAUAGUUAGGGGGCCUGAAAGGGUGAUCCCCCACACUGGUACUGAGACACGGACCAGACUCCUACGGGAGGCAGCAGUGAGGAAUAUUGCACAAUGGAGGAAACUCUGAUGCAGCCAUGCCGCGUGCAGGAAGAAUGCCCUAUGGGUUGUAAACUGCUUUUAUACAAGAAGAAACCUCAGUACGUGUACUGACUUGACGGUAUUGUAUGAAUAAGCACCGGCUAACUCCGUGCCAGCAGCCGCGGUAAUACGGAGGGUGCAAGCGUUAUCCGGAUUUAUUAGGUUUAAAGGGUCCGCAGGCGGAAUAUUAAGUCAGUGGUGAAAGCCUACAGCUCAACUGUA